rnacentral:rRNA from 1 species
UACCAGACUCCUACGGGAGGCAGCAGUGGGGAAUAUUGCACAAUGGGGGAAACCCUAAUGCAGCGACGCCGCGUGAGUGAAGAAGUAUUUCGGUAUGUAAAGCUCUAUCAGCAGGGAAGAAAAUGACGGUACCUGAAGAAGAAGCCCCGGCUAACUACGUGCCAGCAGCCGCGGUAAUACGUAGGGGGCAAGCGUUAUCCGGAUUUACUGGGUGUAAAGGGGGCGCAGACGGCGAUGCAAGCCAGGAGUGAAAGCCCGGGGCCCAACCCCGGGACUGCUCUUGGAACUGCGUGGCUGGAGUGCAGGAGGGGCAGGCGGAAUUCCUGGUGUAGCGGUGAAAUGCGUAGAUAUCAGGAGGAACACCGGUGGCGAAGGCGGCCUGCUGGACUGCAACUGACGUUGAGGCCCGAAAGCGUGGGGAGCAAACAGGAUUAGAUACCCUAGUAAG